AUGUUAGCUCGCUCUCUUCUGCAGCAUAGCAUGAGACAUCGCACUCUAGCCUCCGUCCCGGCCCUGUGGGCCUCCAUCCCCUGUCCACGCUCUGAGCUGCGCUUGGACCUGGUUCUGGCUUCUGGACAGUCAUUCCGGUGGAGGGAGCAAAGCCCUGCGCACUGGAGUGGCGUGCUGGCCGACCAGGUAUGGACACUGACCCAGACUGAGGAGCAUCUUUACUGCACUGUGUACCGAGGGGAUAAGGGCCGGGUUGGCAGGCCCACACUGGAAGAGCUAAAGGCCGUGCGACAGUACUUCCAACUGGAUGUCAGCCUUGUUCAGCUGUAUCACCACUGGAGUUCCGUGGACCCCCACUUUCAAGAGGUGGCUCAGAAAUUCCAAGGUGUGCGACUCCUGCAACAGGACCCCAUCGAGUGCCUCUUCUCCUUCAUCUGUUCCUCCAACAACAACAUUGCCCGCAUCACUGGCAUGGUGGAGCGGCUCUGCCAGACCUUCGGACCUCGGCUCCUCCAGCUUGAUGAUGUCGCCUACCAUGGCUUCCCCAGCUUGCAGGCCCUGACUGGGCCACACGUGGAGGCUCAGCUCAGGAAGCUGGGCCUGGGGUAUCGUGCCCGCUACGUGAGUGCCAGUGCCCGAGCCAUCCUGGAAGAACGGGGUGGACUUCCCUGGCUGCAGCAGCUGCGCAAGGCCCCCUAUGAGGAGGCCCAUAAGGCCCUCUGCACCCUGCCUGGGGUAGGCACCAAGGUGGCCGACUGCAUCUGCUUGAUGGCCCUAGACAAGCCCCAGGCUGUGCCCGUGGACGUCCACGUGUGGCAGAUCGCUCAAUGUGACUACAGCUGGCACCCCACCACCGCCAAGGGUCCGAGCCCGCAGGCCAACAAGGAACUGGCAGGGAGAGAAAAGGUGUGAUGAAUUCGACUGAAGCCAGCCAGAGGAGGCUCGUUGCCGAGGUCCCCAACUCCACCUCCAUCAUCACCCAGUGCUGCCCCCAACUCUUGAAUUCCUGCAUUUUCCAGGAAGAGUGAUCUCCUCUACCUGGCAGGAAGCAUGGUGUGAGGCAGCCCCAACUUUCCAACUGAACCCAGCAAAAGAGGAGCUACACCCAGUUUCAUGUAUCAGUCUCAGGGAAGGACUCUGAUGGGCUCUGCUGGAGUGACAUGCCUAUGCGUUUACCCCCAGAACUGUUGCCAGAGGAAUAAGGUGCUAUACAGGUAGCUGGGCUUAUGGCUGCCCAGAUACACCACACUUCCCAGCGUCCCUUGCAGUCAGGGGUGGUCAUCUGACGAACUCUCUCCAGUGGAAAGUGAUUAGAAGAGAUAAGAGCCACAGCUGGCCACGGCCUUCACACACUCCUCCUUGCUCUUUUUCUGUGGGCUUGGAGUGGCAAUCACACUUGGAGUGACCUUGUGCAGAGUGCAUGUUUAAGACAGCAAAGCCAGCAUACGUGGGGUCCCCGUCUGAUGGUGUGGAACGGAGAUGUCCCCCUACCCCCACCUCAGCCAACCUGGAACGUGUGCCCAGAAAGACGUGGGAGAGAAAGACGCUAUCGUGUUUGAGACAGCCAGGAAACUGAGGCUCAAGAGGUGAAGAGAUAUGCCUAAGGGCAGCCAGCAGGCAUAAAGAAAGGGACCCUGAACCUGGGGUUUGAAUCCUGCUUCUGUGUAUUAGCUGUGUGACCUCAAGCAAACAGUUCCCUUUUUUGAGCCUCGACCUUGUUGGGUGUAACAUGGGGUUAACCACUGUCUUUGCCUCUAACGAGAGGAUGUGUAGAAAGCCCCCUUGCACGGGGCCUUUAGCCAACGCUCAGCAAAAGUAACUGUGGAGUAGUGGCUACCUUGGGGGGAGGUUAAAAACUGGGAGGGGGGGCUUCCCUGGUGGCGCAGUGGUUGAGAGUCUGCCUGCCAAUGCAGGGGACACGGGUUCGAGCCCUGGUCUGGGAAGAUCCCACAUGCCGCGGAGCGACUGGGCCCGUGAGCCACAAUUGCUGAGCCUGCGCGUCUGGAGCCUGUGCUCCGCAACAGGAAAGGCCGCGAUAGUGAGAGGCCCGCGCACCGCGAUGAAGAGUGGCCCCCACUUGCCGCAACUAGAGAAAGCCCUCGCACAGAAAACGAAGACCCAACACAGCCAUAAAUUAAUUAAUUAAUUAAUUAAUUAAUUAAAAAAAAAACUGGGAGGGGCGUGAGAGAGUCUUCGAGAAUACUGAUGAUGUCUUCUUUUGUGGUCCUGGGCCUACCUGUACAAGUGUGCUCAUUUGUGAAAACUGAUCAAGCUGUACAUUUAUGAUCUAUGUACCCUUCUAAAUGUAUAACGUACUGCAAUAAACAAUAAAAA